CAGUAGCCACGGUAAUACGUAGGGUGCAAGCGUUAAUCGGAAUUACUGGGCGUAAAGCGUGCGCAGGCGGUUUUGUAAGACAGAGGUGAAAUCCCCGGGCUCAACCUGGGAACUGCCUUUGUGACUGCAAGGCUAGAGUACGGCAGAGGGGGAUGGAAUUCCGCGUGUAGCAGUGAAAUGCGUAGAUAUGCGGAGGAACACCGAUGGCGAAGGCAAUCCCCUGGGCCUGUACUGACGCUCAUGCACGAAAGCGUGGGGAGCAAACAGGAUUAGAUACCCGGGUAGUCCCUGUCUCUUAUAC
rnacentral:rRNA from 1 species